rnacentral:rRNA from 1 species
GACGAACGCUGGCGGCGUGCUUAACACAUGCAAGUCGAACGGAAAGGCCCUGCUUUUGUGGGGUGCUCGAGUGGCGAACGGGUGAGUAACACGUGAGUAACCUGCCCUUGACUUUGGGAUAACUUCAGGAAACUGGGGCUAAUACCGGAUAGGAGCUCCUGCUGCAUGGUGGGGGUUGGAAAGUUUCGGCGGUUGGGGAUGGACUCGCGGCUUAUCAGCUUGUUGGUGGGGUAGUGGCUUACCAAGGCUUUGACGGGUAGCCGGCCUGAGAGGGUGACCGGCCACAUUGCGACUGAGAUACGGCCCAGACUCCUACGGGCGGCAGCAGUGGAGAAUUUUGCACAAGGGGCGGAAGCCUGAAGCAGCAACGCCGCGGGCGGUAUGACGGCCUUCGGGUUGUAAACCGCUUUCGCCUGUGACGAAGCGAGAGUGACGGUAAUGGGUAAAGAAGCACCGGCUAACUACGUG